UACGUAGGGUGCGAGCGUUAAUGGGAUUUACGGGGCGUAAAGCGUGCGUAGGCGGUUCGUUAUGUCUGCUGUGAAAGCCCCGGGCUUAACCUGGGAAUGGCAGUGGAAACUGGCGGGCUUGAGUGUGGCAGAGGGGGGUGGAAUUCCGCGUGUAGCAGUGAAAUGCGUAGAGAUGCGGAGGAACACCGAUGGCGAAGGCAGCCCCCUGGGCUGACACUGACGCUGAGGCACGAAAGCGUGGGGAGCAAACAGG
rnacentral:rRNA from 1 species